UACAGAGGUCUCAAGCGUUGUUCGGAUUCAUUGGGCGUAAAGGGUGUGUAGGUGGCGCCGUAAGUCAGGUGUGAAAUCUCGGGGCUUAACUCCGAAACUGCAUUUGAUACUGCGGUGCUUGAGGACUGGAGAGGAGACUGGAAUUUAUGGUGUAGCAGUGAAAUGCGUAGAUAUCAUAAGGAAGACCAGUGGCGAAGGCGGGUCUCUGGACAGUUCCUGACACUGAGACACGAAGGCCAGGGGAGCAAACGGGG
rnacentral:rRNA from 1 species